AGGACGAACGCUGGCGGCGUGCUUAACACAUGCAAGUCGAACGGUGAAGCCCUUUCGGGGGUGGAUCAGUGGCGAACGGGUGAGUAACACGUGAGCAACCUGCCCUUGACUCUGGGAUAACUUCGGGAAACCGGAGCUAAUACCGGAUAUGACACGCGGAGGCAUCUCCUGUGUGUGGAAAGAUUCAUUGGUCAAGGAUGGGCUCGCGGCCUAUCAGCUAGUUGGUGGGGUAAUGGCCUACCAAGGCGACGACGGGU
rnacentral:rRNA from 1 species